UUCUUUGUUGCAAAUCGAGUUUGUGAUUGAAUUUAGAAACAAUAAUUCAAUCACAAACUCGAUUUGCAACAA
rnacentral:pre_miRNA from 1 species